rnacentral:tRNA from 1 species
CGGAGUGUGCAGCUAAAUGGUAGGCAGCUUCCCUUGGAAGGAAGAACGUGUGAGUUCGAAUCUCACUGCUCCGACUA